GUGGGGAAUAUUGGACAAUGGGGGGAACCCUGAUCCAGCCAUGCCGCGUGUGUGAAGAAGGCCUUUUGGUUGUAAAGCACUUUAAGCGAGGAGGAGGCGCUCUAGGCUAAUACCCUAGAAGCGUGGACGUUACUCGCAGAAUAAGCACCGGCUAACUCUGUGCCAGCAGCCGCGGUAAUACAGAGGGUGCGAGCGUUAAUCGGAUUUACUGGGCGUAAAGCGUACGUAGGCGGCUUUUUAAGUCGGAUGUGAAAUCCCCGAGCUUAACUUGGGAAUUGCAUUCGAAACUGGGAAGCUAGAGUAUGGGAGAGGAUGGUAGAAUUCCAGGUGUAGCGGUGAAAUGCGUAGAGAUCUGGAGGAAUACCGAUGGCGAAGGCAGCCAUCUGGCCUAAUACUGACGCUGAGGUACGAAAGCAUGGGGAGCAA
rnacentral:rRNA from 1 species